AGCCGCGAGGAAGAGAGGGAGAGUGAGGGCGAGAGCCGCCAGCUCCGGCGGCGGCGUUGCCGUCUGGUGGCGGCGGAAGGGUGAGACCGAGGGAGAGAAGGAGAGAGGGAGAAAGGGGAAGAAGGGAGCUGCGCAUGGAGCGUGUAUUGUGAAGUAGUGGUGUGUGUGUGAGAUCUUUAAGUUAGGGCAAGAGAGGAGAGUGGGCUUGGGCUCGGGCCUAAGCUAAUUUAUGAAUGGGCUAAGUUUAUCAAGUGUUUGGACUAGCAUUUUAUUUAGUUAAUUCUUUUAAGCAGUAAGCAUAAUUUAUUUAAGCCCAUAGUUACUCUUUUAAUUAUUAUUUCCAUUUCAGAUUUUCUAAAAAAAAAAACUUAUAUAAAUAAUUUUCUCAAGUUUAAUUAUAUUUAAAAUAUUUUAAUUAAGUCCUUAUGUUUUAUUAUUUGAAAUUAUCUGGCUAGGUGCGGCGCGAUUAGGACGUGAACUUUAAAUUAUCGCAGUUAACUUUCAAAGCUCAAGUUUCAGUUUCAGGUGAUUGAUACUGGAGGCGCGUGGAGAGUCGAAUGGGCGCGUCGAAUCUAUUUAAAAAUAAAUGUUUCUUAAAACAUAUUAUGUUAUUUCAUGUGAUAUCUUUUGGUUAUGUAAACUCUGAAAUUCUAUACUAUUUGAGAUUUGUGUGUGAUUUAUUUAAAUAAAUGUUGUUAUAUUAUUUUAA